AGUGAACGCUGGCGGCAGGCCUAACACAUGCAAGUCGAGCGGCAGCGCGGGGGCAACCCUGGCGGCGAGCGGCGGACGGGUGAGGAAUUCGUCGGAAUCUGCCUUUUUGUGGGGGAUAACGUAGGGAAACUUACGCUAAUACCGCAUACGUCCUACGGGAGAAAGUGGGGGACCGCAAGGCCUCACGCAGAAAGAUGAGCCGACGACCGAUUAGCUAGUUGGUGGGGUAAAGGCCCACCAAGGCGACGAUCGGUAGCUGGUCUGAGAGGAUGAUCAGCCACACUGGGACUGAGACACGGCUCAGACUCCUACGGGAGGCAGCAGUGGGGAAUAUUGGACAAUGGGCGCAAGCCUGAUCCAGCCAUGCCGCGUGUGUGAAGAAGGCCUUCGGGUUGUAAAGCACUUUUGUCCGGAAAGAAAUCCCUGGAGCUAAUACCUUCGGGGGAUGACGGUACCGGAAGAAUAAGCACCGGCUAACUUCGUG
rnacentral:rRNA from 1 species